GCAGAAGGUCCAUAGCUCAGUAGCUGAGCAUCUGCUUUGCAUGCUUCAGGGCACAGGUUCAAUCCCUGGCCUCUGCA